AGCUUUGUGCAGUGGCAGUAUCGUAGCCAAUGAGAUUUAUCCGAGGUGCGAUUAUUGCUACAUAAAACAUUGUGUAAGGUUAAGCCAUAGAAAAAUGUUGGUUUCAUAUGCUUUGAUACACAUAUAUCACAUGU
ensembl:snRNA U4 U4 spliceosomal RNA